UCUGGUAGCAAGAAGAAAAGAACGACAACGUGAAUCUCUCUCUUAGCUUCUCUCCUCCGCUCGGAACGGCAACAUCAACGGCGAAGCUUUUUUUCUCAAAUUCGUGAUGCUCUCUCUCGUGUUCUUCUGCUCUCGGCUUGUUCUCACUUGUUAUCUCUUGCUCUCUCGGUUUCUUUUUCUCGGAACAAACACAACAGCAACUCAAUCGGUGAACGAGAACAACUCCUCUCACUCGCAGCAAAUUAACAGGGAUAUGAGGGUGAAAUCGAAUUACCUGCGGCGAGGAGGCUUUCGCCGGUUUAUUGUUGAGGUGAUCAAUGACCUUCGGCGAUGUUGUUAUUGCAACAGUUGUUGCAGAAUUUUUGAACCCUCUGCUUGCUGCUAGUUGUUAACAACCUUGAAUGGCUUUUGAUGAAGGUGAUGCCAUAACACCUCUUUGGAUUGUGGGAGACUUGAAGAUGAACUUCAAGUUGUUGGAAGCUUGAAGAUGAAGAUCUUCAAGAAAGAAAACAUGAAGAAGGAGACUUGGACAUCAAGAAUGGAUACUUGAAGAUUUCAAGAAUGAAUUCAAGAAAGUCUUGAAACUUUAUUUUUUUCAUUUGUUCUUGUAAUUCCAAUAGAAUUUGUAUGAACUUGUAUUCUUGGAAAUAAAUGGGACUUUGAAUGUUGUA